AAGCUGGAUUCGCUAGUAAUCGCGCAUCAGCCACGGCGCGGUGAAUACGUUCCCGGGUCUUGUACACACCGCCCGUCACACCAUGGGAGUCGGAAAUGCCCGAAGCCGGUGACUCAACCUUUAAGGAGAGAGCCGUCGAAGGCAGGUCUGAUAACUGGGGUGAAGUCGUAACAAGGUAAC
rnacentral:rRNA from 1 species